CAAAAACGAGGGAAGUAUUGGGGCUCCCAAAUCUCUAUUGUUACUACCUAGCGGCGCAACUGGCCCAGGUGGUAGCGUGGCAUUCCUGGGUGGGUUCCCACAGGUGGGUAGAACUAGAAACACACCUGAUGAGUACAGACCUACCACAAUUUUGGAUAUGGCUGCCCAAACAAGACAGACCACCCCUCCGCACCACAUGCCCAGCGAUACUUAACUCAAUACGAAUCUGGGACCUCACGGCAGACAAACACGCCCUAAAACAUACACCGUCCCCGAUGACCCCAUACCUCCACAACGAGGCAUUCGAGGCCAGGCUGAGUGCACGAGACUUCCAGGGCAUUGAGAACACGGGGGUACAGAGAUAUGCCCAUCU